UACGUAGGGGGCAAGCGUUGUCCGGAAUUAUUGGGCGUAAAGAGCGUGUAGGCGGUCCGGUAAGUCAGCUGUGAAAGUCAAGGGCUCAACCCUUGAAAGCCGGUUGAUACUGUCGGGCUAGAGUCCGGAAGAGGCGAGUGGAAUUCCCGGUGUAGCGGUGAAAUGCGCAGAUAUCGGGAGGAACACCAAUGGCGAAGGCAGCUCGCUGGGACGGUACUGACGCUGAGACGCGAAAAGCGUGGGGAGCAAACAGG
rnacentral:rRNA from 1 species